UGUGAGAGACUGCAGAGAAUGGCCUAGCAUAGCGAAUCAGUGGCCCAUCCCUGUACUGGAGUUAGUGAUUAAUCACUAAACAAAUACUUACUAAAGACCUCCACUAAUUUUCUUUUAUGGAUGCAAUACUCCCCUGUGGUUUCAGAUCAACGCUUUCCUUGUUAUCCACGUAUGCAUCUUUUUGUUCGCAUCGGGCAUGCACCAUCAAAGCUGCGAGGCACAUCAAAGAUUUCAGGGCAGCUUUUGCGUGGGCAGCCAUGUCACAUACGGUUGGGUUUAUGGCUGAUAACUUUCUCUCAAGGAGGCAAGUCAUUUCCGUUCCUCCCCACCUCCACAAACACCCACAUGUGUACACACACCUAUGUUAUGGUGAGAAAAGAAACACUUUGUGUUAAAUGAUUGUGUUCACAACGAGGAGUCUUUUAAUCAUUAACUUCAUAACAGGUAGUUCAUAUCCACUUUUUGAGGGACAUAAAGCAGAAAGAAGUCUUUGGACUGCACUCUGGAUUUAAAUCAGCGUACCGAGGCAAGAAUAAAGAGAGAAGAGUUUUCAGAAAUGGCGGGCGAAUCAUCUACACGAUGAGCAAGACUGAGUCAUGAGCCCCAGCAAAUCCACCAACAAAGAAGCUCAAAGCUUACUGCUGCAGAAACUACAGCCACACAGUCCUAGGUCUCUGCUUUAUAUGUCUGAUCAUUUUCUAUAUUUUGGAAUAUAUUUCUCUUUCUGAACAGGGUUUAUGGAUAAUGUUGGAUUCAGGAAUUCGUUCUGUAGGUGUGUUCAGAAUUUACCCGUGAGUACAUGUGCUGAAAAAGUUCUACUUCUUUAUUGGUCCAAGAUGAAGUUCUUUUCCUGUUAGAUCGGAUUAAAAGUCUUUUUUUGUAACUUUGAAAUGCAUUAAAAUCCAUAAGAAAUGUAGAAUUUAAAACUAAAAGUUGUUUUUCUUGUUCAGUAAAAUGUUGGAAAACUGCAAAACUGAUUAUUUUUAGAGGAUUCUUUUGAGGCAUGCUGAAGCGGGUAGUCCUGUUUAUUUAAAAAUGUGAAACUGUAACAAAAUGUCUCUCAUGUCAAGUAGAAACCAAAGGAGUAUACAUCUUAUUAAAUUGCUUUGAAUACAAAAAACAAAAAAGCCGCUACAUGAGGAAUUAGGAAGUUUAAGCAGAACAUUUAUAAAAAGCCUGAAUCCAAAGGUUGUUAACCUUAAGUCCUUUAGUUAAUUCUCUACAUUAGGUAUAAAUCCUUGCCCAGAACUUAAACUGCCCAUGUUUAGUAUAUGUUGAGAAGAAUUAGGUAAAAACUAGUAAAUUCAAACCUGCACACUUUUAAUUUACAAUUUACUGUAAAUGUCAUAACUGCUUCAUAACGCUUGUAUUUAAGUGUAAUAAAUAAGGUUGAAAAAUA